CACGUAGGGCGCAAGCGUUGUCCGGAAUUAUUGGGCGUAAAGAGCUCGUAGGCGGUCUGUUGCGUCUGCUGUGAAAACUCGGGGCUUAACCCCGAGCCUGCAGUGGAUACGGGCAGACUAGAGGUAGGUAGGGGAGAAUGGAAUUCCCGGUGUAGCGGUGAAAUGCGCAGAUAUCGGGAGGAACACCGGUGGCGAAGGCGGUUCUCUGGGCCUUACCUGACGCUGAGGAGCGAAAGCGUGGGGGAGCGAAACAGG
rnacentral:rRNA from 1 species